CUCGACAACUUCCAAGGCACUUACGUGCGACCACCGGAUGCUGAUGACUUAAGUCACAUUACCCAACAACCCGGAGAGUCAGCCAGGAAAUUCUGGACUCGGUUCCUAACUAAGAAGAACCAAAUUGUCGAUUGUCCGAAUGCCGAGGCCCUGGCGGCCUUUAAGCAUAAUAUCCGCGACGAGUGGCUCACCCGACACCUCGGCCAAGAAAAACCAAAGUCCAUGGCGGCCCUCACGACACUCAUGACCUGCUUUUGCGCGGGCGAGGACAGCUGGCUGGCUCGCAGUAGCACCACGCCAAGAAACUCCGGAACUUCAGAUGUCCGCGACAGUAACGGAAAGCCACGGCGCAAUAGGUAUAAGCGUUGGAAUAAUGGUGACAACGCCGAAGACACGACAGUUAAUUCCGGAUUCAGCAACUCAAAAUCCGGUCAGCGGAAAAAGCCAUUCAAAAGAAAUAAUCCGGGAUCGUCCAGUCUGGACCGCAUACUCGACCGCUCGUGCCAGAUUCACGGCACCCCCAACAAACCAGCUAAUCACACUAAUAGAGAUUGUUGGGUGUUCAAACAGGACGGCAAGUUGAAUGCCAAAAACAAGGACAAGGGGCUGCACAACGAUGAUGACGAGGAACCUCGGUGUCCGAACACUGGGGGACAGAAGAAAUUUCCCGUCCCAGGUGAAAACGGUAAACAUGAUCUAUGCCACCCACAUUCCCAAGCGGGAACAAAAGCAUGCACUGCGGGACGUCUAUGCGAUGGAGCCCGUCGCCCCAAAGUUCAACUCAUGGUCAUCCUGCCCGAUCACAUUCCAUCAUAG
rnacentral:rRNA from 1 species